GAUGAACGCUGGCGGCGUGCCUAAUACAUGCAAGUCGAGCGAACGGACGAUAAGCUCGUGCCUCUGAUGUUAGCGGCGGACGGGCGAGUAACACGUGGAUAACCUACCUAUAUUACUGGGAUAACUUCGGGAAACAGGUUCUACUACCGGAUAAUAUUUUGUACCGCAUGGUUCAAGAGUGAAAGACGGUCUUGCCGUCACUAAUAGAUGGAUCCGCGCUGCAUUAGCUAGUUGGUAAGGUAACGGCUUACCAAGGCAACGAUGCAUAGCCGAUCUGAGAGGGUGAUCGGCCACACUGGAACUGAGACACGGUCCAGACUCCUACGGGAGGCAGCAGUAGGGAAUCUUCCGCAAUGGGCGAAAGCCUGACGGAGCAACGCCGCGUGAGUGAUGAAGGUCUUCGGAUCGUAAAACUCUGUUAUUGGGGAAGAACAUAUGUGUAAGUAACUGUGCACAUCUUGACGGUACCUAAUCAGAAAGCCACGGCUAACUACGUG
rnacentral:rRNA from 1 species